CAAGUGGCCUCUCUUUCGGAGUGGUUGCUCCAUUGCACCUUUACAUAAAGAAUGGUCCGACGUCGCAACACUUGAUCCUUUCUAUCCAUAAUCCGUACCGGGUACUCUUUAUUAGUCAGAUCCUCAUGCAGACUUAUAGGCUCAAAAUCUACCACAUGGUUCGGGUCCGAAAUAUAUUUCCUCAGCAUUGAAACAUGAAAUACAUUAUGCACCCUUGAUAAAGCUGGUGGUAAAGCCAAACGAUAUGCCACUUCU
rnacentral:lncRNA from 1 species